UACGUAGGGUGCAAGCGUUAAUCGGAAUUACUGGGCGUAAAGCGAGCGCAGACGGUUAUUUAAGUCGGAUGUGAAAUCCCCGAGCUCAACUUGGGACGUGCAUUUGAAACUGGGUAACUAGAGUGUGUCAGAGGGAGGUAGAAUUCCACGUGUAGCAGUGAAAUGCGUAGAGAUGUGGAGGAAUACCGAUGGCGAAGGCAGCCUCCUGGGAUAACACUGACGUUCAUGCUCGAAAGCGUGGGUAGCAAAC
rnacentral:rRNA from 1 species